UCCUAAGUAUCAGGCAAAGGGAUAACGUCCACCAGGGACAGAUUAAAGAUUCUUCCCAAGACACACCCAGGGCAUCUGCACUGUCCACUCCCUUCCCUCACCCACCUUCAUGACCAUGUAGAAUGCAUCCUUUCCAGAGCCCAGCAGAAGUGGGUACAGUGACAGGGAUGCACUAUGGUGUGUGUAAAGCUGAAAAAGAUAAGCCCCGGUCUCUGGAGGAGUCUGAGUCAUUUGAUAGUUGAAAUGUGGAAAAUACUCAAUGAAUGCCACUACUCAAAAUCAGGUCUUGUGAUGCCAAGUUUAGUGUCAUUUCCUUUCCCAAUUUCACUCUAAAGGAACUCAUUUUCCAUUUCCUACUUGCCAGAAUCCUUUUUUUCUUUCUCAGUCUCUCUCUACCCCACAUUUCAGUUUCACAAAGUAUCUGGCUCUGGUGACAUAGCUAUCUGUUAUUUGGAAAGAUGCACCAUGGUGAAUGCUUCCCAUCCUAUGACACCCAGAAGAAGACCACACCUGCCUUCUGCCUUUUUACACCAUUCACUAAUUAAUACCCACUGUGUUCUCGGUACUCAACUGCCUGUGAAGGUCUUCAGAAACAAGUGUUGAACCUCAGAGCAGAGGUGGAUAUUAAGAGAUGACAUUGGUGAGUGCUUCCCUACAAUUACCAUGUCAUGAGAAGGAACACAAAGGAAAAAAAACAGAGAUGGAUUUGCUCUGGGAGACGUGGAAAGCUACCAAGAAUUCAGGUGGUGAAUGCUUGGUCUCCAGACAGCAGUGCUAUUUGAAGAAGUUGAGGAACAUUAGCUGAAGGAUGUAGGUCACUACGGACAUGGCCUUUGAAGGUUAUACCUGAUUCUCAUCCCAGUCCCAGCACCACGCUUCCUGUCUGUCCUCUGCCGUAGUCUCCUGUCACCAUGAGGUUGUGUGUUACCAUGAACUCAGAAUCAACAGACCCAAGCACUGUGGAUAGAAACUGUAAAUAAAUCCUUCCUUUCUUAAGUUAUUUAUGUCAGGUAUUUGUCAUAAAGACAAAAACCUAACACACUACUGAAGAAACCACCAAUAAAACCACCCUAAAAUACUCUUAAA